GACGAACGCUGGCGGCGUGCCUAAUACAUGCAAGUUGAGCGCUGAAGGUUGGUACUUGUACCAACUGGAUGAGCAGCGAACGGGUGAGUAACGCGUGGGGAAUCUGCCUUUGAGCGGGGGACAACAUUUGGAAACGAAUGCUAAUACCGCAUAAAAACUUUAAACACAAGUUUUAAGUUUGAAAGAUGCAAUUGCAUCACUCAAAGAUGAUCCCGCGUUGUAUUAGCUAGUUGGUGAGGUAAAGGCUCACCAAGGCGAUGAUACAUAGCCGACCUGAGAGGGUGAUCGGCCACAUUGGGACUGAGACACGGCCCAAACUCCUACGGGAGGCAGCAGUAGGGAAUCUUCGGCAAUGGACGAAAGUCUGACCGAGCAACACCGCGUGAGUGAAGAAGGUUUUCGGAUCGUAAAACUCUGUUGGUAGAGAAGAACGUUGGUGAGAGUGGAAAGCUCAUCAAGUGGCGGUAACUACCCAGAAAGGGACGGCUAACUACGUG
rnacentral:rRNA from 1 species